rfam:Paracoccus denitrificans PD1222 chromosome 1, complete sequence.
GGCGGAGUAGCUCAGCUGGUUAGAGCAGAGGAAUCAUAAUCCUUGUGUCGGGGGUUCAAAUCCCUCCUCCGCUA